ensembl:lncRNA
GGAAGGUCUAACCUCCAGCCUUCAUUUACAGAGCCUUAGUGGUGAAUCACUUGCCUCUUAUCUCAGAGGCUGAACAAUAGCAGACAUUCAGACCGUUCAGCUGGGUUUAAGAGAGAUAAUAACAGGGACGCUAACCGUUUAUUUUGCUCUAAUAUGGCAACUGUGUCAGCACCUUUUACUCGUCUGAGCAAAGUAUGAGAAAACCAGCUAUUCUUUUGUGAAGCAGCAUGAAGUCACUCCAGGGUCUAUCACUUUAAUGAUUUUGCCUAUUACUGGCUUGAUUUUAAAGUCAAUAUAAAGGAUUCUCACAUUGUGACUUUAAUUGCAAAAAUUCCUUUUUACAAUGUUCUCUUGAAGUUCAGUAUUCAGGUUUAUUUGUGUGUACUGGCUGAAAGUGAAAGUUUAAAAUGGCUCCUUGCCUGCAGUCAUGUUCUUUUAGAUUCUUCAUCUCACCUCUUGAUCUCAGUGCAGCAGGUUUCACAGAGGCACGCAAGGGUCCCAAACUCCCUGGAGCAGGUAACGACGCUGCGUUUGCCGCUCUCACAGGUGCAUUGUUGAAGAUAGAGGCUACAGUGGAGCGCACAGAGACUGUAUGUCUGCUGGCAGAGAUACAGCGCUGCCUGUGGAGGAGCCGCUCCUGGCUGAAGAAAAGCAUGGAAAUGAGCAGGACUCUUCUGAGGGGUCUGUGAACGGUGUGGUUGUUACUCAUAGCUUUGCAUUACAAAUUGUAAUCUUGUGAUGUUGAUGUUUUGAAAUAUUUGGAAUGAAUCCUUGCGAAGGACACUUGCAUACUUACAUAUGCAUACUUUUUAAAAUGAGUACUUGUUAUAGAAAUGUUAUACUUAAUUGUGAACUGAAUGCAUUGUUUUCGGACAAUUACAGUAAUUGCCUGUUAAGUAUAAUCAAAAAAAAAAAAAAGAAAAAAAAAGAAGUUAUCUCUCCUCAAUAAAGUGCUUACAAAAAGAUAAUUGUGACUUUAU